rnacentral:lncRNA from 1 species
UUUUUUUUUUUUUUGGAGGGUAUUUCCUUUUUGGAUUGUGUUUAUGUUUAAUCCUUUUGGAUUAAUUCUUCUUCCUCUUCUCCUUCUUCUUUUAAUGGCCGCAUCCACAGCAUAUGGAAAUUCCCAGGCCAGGGAUUGAAUCCUAACUGCAGCUGUGACCUAUGUUGCAGCUCGCAACCCUAGAUCCUUUAACCCACUGUGCCAGGCCAGGGAUGGAACCCAUACCUCCUCAGGGACCUGAGCCUCAGCAGUCAGAUUCUCUCUCUGUCUUUUUUCUUUUUAUGUCUGCAUCUGCGGCAUAUGGAAGUUCCUAGGCUAGGGGUCAGAUUGGAGCUGCUGACUUAUGCCACAGCCACAGCAAGACUGGAUCCAAGCUGAAUCGCAACCUAUGCUGCAGCUUGCAGCAUUGCAGGAUCUUUAGCCCACUGAGUGAGGCCAGGGAUCAAACCCACAUCCUCAUGGAGACAACCUCAGUUCUUAAUCCACUGAACCACCAUGGAAACUCCUGUAGUUGAAUUCCUAACGCACUGCUCCACAGUGGGAACUCCUUUGUUCUUAUCUUUGACUAGGAAAGGGGCCAUCCAGCUGUACUAAUUUGCUCAAGAAGUGAGUAGAGGAGGGGGAGGGAAUGACUGGGAGCAGCAUCUUAUUAAUAUUUAAAAUAAUAAAAAAAUCUUUUUGCUGUACUGAGGUGCAUUAUAUAACGUAUAGAAAAUACGGAAAAAUAAAAGGAAGAAAAGAAUCGUUCAUAAUCCGAUCGUGAUAAUUACUGUUAAUAUUUAGACAUAUUAACCUUCAGUCUGUUCCUUAUGCAUAUUUUAACACUCUUGUGAUCAUAUUCUCCAAGCAUUUUGUACUUAUUUUUCAACUUAUGUCUCAGCACAUGUUUCUUAGAUUAUUAGAAACACUCAUGAUUAAAUCCUUACUUUGAUAAUAUCAUGGGAUAGAAUCAAAUGGAGCCUCCAAGGGUAGUAGGUCCCUGUUUUGGGUCCCUUCCCCUUUGGUGGCCAUGGCUCUUUUACUUUUAAGAAGGACUUCUUGUUUAUCUUUAGUAUUUAAUUUCUGAGAUUAAAUUUAUAGGGAAAUUUAUCUGAUGAGUUUUGAUAAAUUUUUACGUUCAAGUAAUCACAAAAAUCAACCAGAUACGGAAUAUUUGCUUGAGUCAUUUUAAUAGUGCAGUGAUGAAAACCUAUAAGAAGCUUCCCUAUGUUUGGAUUAUUUACUGAGGCUGUGCACCUAGAAGUGAAACCAUUAGAGCCUCAUUUUAUGAAACUUUUAAUGGACGUUUUACCCACAUGUCUUCCAGAGGGCGGGUCCAUGUCCAGUCCCACCGGGCAGUGGAGACCACCAGCACUACUCAGCCCUUUCUCCAGGAUUUCCUUGACAUGUUUGGACUAGCCCCCAGCAGGAGAGGUCCACCAUUUCUUCUUGAAAGCAAACUGUGACUCUGUUGUGACAACACCUCCCUCCAUCUGACCAUGGCUCUGUGUGUAUAUGCGUGCUCUUUUUUUUUUUUUUUUUUUUUUUUUUUUUUUUUUUUUUGUCUUUUGUUGUUGUUGUUGUUGUUGCUAUUUCUUGGGCCGCUCCCACGGCCUAUGGAGGUUCCCAGGCUAGGGGUUGAAUCGGAGCUGUAGCCACCGGCCUACGCCAGAGCCACAGCAACGUGGGAUCCGAGCUGCGUCUGCAACCUACACCACAGCUCACGGCAAUGCCAGAUCCUUAACCCACUGAGCAAGGGCAGGGACCGAACCCGCAACCUCAUGGUUCCUAGUCGGAGUCGUUAAGCACUGCGCCACGACGGGAACUCCUAAAACACUCUUGACACAGAUAACACUCUCUGUAGCCUGGGAGUGGUUAUCAGGGACACCACUUCUUCAUGGUGGGGGCUUCCUGAUGAAAUCACACCUCAGCUCCUCUGUGUCUUCUUUCAAAGUCACAGUGUUUCUAAUCACAAGGGCUCUAAAACUCCUGAGCCCGUUUACUUCUCUCAUGCUCCCUUUGAUGCCAGCUCUCAUCCAUUCUGCUUUCCUAGGUCUCGCCCCCCUCUCCCUCCCCGGCUUCUGUUUCCAUUCUCAUUGCUUUAUUCUGGCCCCGCAUGACUGCUUACUCAACGCAUUUCAGUUUAUUCUUUUCUCCCUAACACAUCUGUAUGCGCCGUGGCUGCCCGAUCAGUCAUCCCAAAGGAUUUGCUUAUGCCAUACUUCUGUUCAAAAUAUCUUCAAGAAGCUCCAUCCAUUCAAAAUCCUUAUCCUGGCAUCCCUGGGCCUUCCACAGUCUUCCAACUUUAUUGCUCUCUCUUUUUCAUGAAAUUGGCAUGAAACUAAACUACUUGUUAUCCUCCCAUUUAACAGCAUUUUAAGAAUUAUUUUCUGCUUUAUUCAAGUUCUUGCCUCUGCUGGAAUGCUUUUUGUUCCUCCAUGAUUUAAAUUUCCAAAUUUUGUCUUGCCUUCAAAAUUCCAUUUAGAUGUCAUUUCCUUCACAAAAUCUUCCCUGAUAAGCCCAGCAAAAAUAGUCUCUCUCCCUUCUGAAUCAUUAUAGUACUUUAUUAUUACAUUUUUGUUUUGUAUUAUUUUCAAUCUGGAAUUAUAACAGUUCAUUGGCUGUUUUUUAUUUGGAUAGAAAUUUUCUUUUUUUUUUUAAUUUAAUUUUUACUUUUAUGGCCAUACCCACCCAGCAGCAUGUGGAGGUUCCUGGGCCAGGGAUUGAAUCUGAGCCCCACCUGUUGUGGCAACACCGGAUCCCUUAACCCACUGUGAUUAACCAGGGAUGGAACCCACAUCUCCACAGUGACCCAAGCCACUGCAGUCGGAUUCUUAACCCGCUGCACCACAGCAAGAGCUCCUAGAUAGACAUUUUCUUAAGAGCAAGUUUUGAUUUUAAAAUUUUCGUAUAUGUCUUCAAUGCCUUGCAUAAGAAAGAAGCUCAGUCAAUAAAUGUUUUCUUUUUGAGCUUUGUGGAGGUAUAAUUGACAAACUUGUAAUAUGUUAAAGAUACACAAUGUGAUGAUUUGAUACACUGUUGGAGGAGGUCAUCAGGUGUGACAGCUGGCUUACCUGUGAGCUGGACCAGGACAGCUCCUGUGUCCUUGAAAUGUCCCUUCACUCACUGUUGCCACAGUAGAAAUCAUUUUUGAGGACACAGCCUUGAGAAAUCAAGGUGUUGUUGAGAUCAUCUGAACUGUGUAAGUGACUGAACCCCCAUUAAGGCCUCUAAAUAAAUUUUAAGAUUCUGCUAAGCAGAUGUGGCGAUCUGCUCAUCUUGAAGCUGCUCAACACAAGUCCUAUGCAUAAAUUUUCUUGCUUGUUAAAACCACCGCUUACCGGCGUUCCCACUGUGGCUCAGCGGUAACAAGUCUGACUAGUAUCCAGGAGGAUGCAGGUUGGAUCCCUGGCCCUGCUCUGUGGGUUGAAGAUAUGACAUUGCUGUGAGCUGUGGUGUAGUCCUCAGAUGUGGCUCGGAUCUGGUGUUGCUGUGGCUGAGGUGGAGGCCAGCAGCUGUACCGCCAGUUCGAUCCCUAGCCUACCAAGUUCCAUAUGCUGCAGCUGCAGCCCUAAAAAGCAAAACAAACAAACAACAACAACAACAAAAUCCCACUACUUAGCAAUCUGGGAGGGGCCUUUCUCUUUCUCUGGUCUUAUCCUCUGCUGGGAGGGAGGGGGAAGCUCCUAAGUUUGGGAACCAACUUACACAGAUACAGUGUGAUGGAUUCCCACCACUGAGUUGAUGAACAUAUCUGUCACCUUAUAUUUUUGCCUUUUUUCUUUUUUUUCUUUUUGGUGAGAUUUUUCUCUCUUAACUAAUUUUAUUUAUACAUACAGUAUUAUCAACUAUAGAUAGUUACCAUGUUUUAUAUUAGAUACUCAGACCUUUCCGGGUACUGAAAGUUUGUACCCUUUUAUCAGCCUCUCCCUAUUUCUCCCAUACCCCAGGCCCUGGCAACCACUAUUCUACCCUCUGUUUCUCUGAGUUCAACUUUUUUUUUUUAAAGAUUCCAAAUAUAGAGAGUUCCCAUUGUGGCUCAGAGGUAAUGAACCCAACUAGUGUCUGUCCAUAGGGAUGUGGGUUUGAUUCCUGGCUUCACUCAGUGGGUUAAGGAUCUGGUGCUGGUUGUUGUGAGCUGUAGUGCAGGUCACAGAUGUGCCUCAGAUCUGGCGUUGCUGUGGCUGUGGUGUAGCCUGGCAGCUGAAGCUCUGAUUGGACUCCUAGCCUGGGAACUUCCACAUGCCACAGGAGUG